rnacentral:rRNA from 1 species
GUAAUACGUAGGGUGCAAGCGUUAAUCGGAAUUACUGGGCGUAAAGCGUGCGCAGGCGGUUAUGUAAGUCAGAUGUGAAAUCCCCGGGCUCAACCUGGGAAUGGCAUUUGAGACUGCAUGGCUAGAGUGUGUCAGAGGGGGGUAGAAUUCCACGUGUAGCAGUGAAAUGCGUAGAGAUGUGGAGGAAUACCGAUGGCGAAGGCAGCCCCCUGGGAUAACACUGACGCUCAUGCACGAAAGCGUGGGGNGCANACAGGAUUAGAUACCCUGGUAGUCCACGCCCUAAACGAUGUCUACUAGUUGUCGGGACUUAAUUGUCUUGGUAACGCAGCUAACGCGUGAAGUAGACCGCCUGGGGAGUACGGUCGCAAGAUUAAAACUCAAAGGAAUUGACGGGGACCCGCACAAGCGGUGGAUGAUGUGGAUUAAUUCGAUGCAACGCGAAAAACCUUACCUACCCUUGACAUGUACGGAACCUCUGAGAGAUUAGAGGGUGCUCGAAAGAGAGCCGUAACACAGGUGCUGCAUGNCUGUCGUCAGCUCGUGUCGUGAGAUGUUGGGUUAAGUCCCNCAACGAGCGCAACCCUUGUCAUUAGUUGCUACGAAAGGGCACUCUAAUGAGACUNCCGGUGACAAACCGGAGGAAGGUGGGGAUGACGUCAAGUCCUCAUGGCCCUUAUGGGUAGGGCUUCACACGUCAUACAAUGGUACAUACAGAGGGCCNCCAACCCGCGAGGGGGAGCUAAUCCCAGAAAGUGUAUCGUAGUCCGGAUUGUAGUCUGCAACUCGACUACAUGAAGUUGGAAUCGCUAGUAAUCGCGGAUCAGCAUGUC